rnacentral:rRNA from 1 species
UACGUAGGGGGCUAGCGUUGUCCGGAAUCAUUGGGCGUAAAGCGCGUGUAGGCGGUCCGGCAAGUCCGCUGUGAAAGUCGGGGGCUCAACCCUCGAAUGCCGGUGGAUACUGUCGGGCUAGAGUGCGGAAGAGGCGAGUGGAAUUCCUGGUGUAGCGGUGAAAUGCGCAGAUAUCAGGAGGAACACCUAUUGCGAAGGCAGCUCGCUGGGACGUAACUGACGCUGAGACGCGAAAGCGUGGGGAGCAAACAGG